GAUGAACGCCGGCGGUGUGCCUAAUACAUGCAAGUCGAGCGCACUGGCCCAACAGAAAUGACGUGCUUGCACUGAUUUGACGUUGGAUUCCCAGUGAGCGGCGGACGGGUGAGUAACACGUGGGCAACCUGCCCCAAAGCGGGGGAUAACAUUUGGAAACAGGUGCUAAUACCGCAUAACUUGGAAAACCACAUGGUUUUCCAAUAAAAGAUGGUUUCGGCUAUCACUUUGGGAUGGGCCCGCGGUGCAUUAGCUAGUUGGCAAGGUAACGGCUUACCAAGGCGAUGAUGCAUAGCCGAGUUGAGAGACUGAUCGGCCACAAUGGAACUGAGACACGGUCCAUACUCCUACGGGAGGCAGCAGUAGGGAAUCUUCCACAAUGGGCGCAAGCCUGAUGGAGCAACACCGCGUGAGUGAAGAAGGGUUUCGGCUCGUAAAACUCUGUUGUUGGAGAAGAACGUGCGUAAGAGUAACUGUUUACGCAGUGACGGUAUCCAACCAGAAAGUCACGGCUAACUACGUGCCAGCAGCCGCGGUAAUACGUAGGUGGCAAGCGUUAUCCGGAUUUAUUGGGCGUAAAGCGAGCGCAGGCGGUUGCUUAGGUCUGAUGUGAAAGCCUUCGGCUUAACCGAAGAAGUGCAUCGGAAACCGGGCGACUUGAGUGCAGAAGAGGACAGUGGAACUCCAUGUGUAGCGGUGGAAUGCGUAGAUAUAUGGAAGAACACCAGUGGCGAAGGCGGCUGUCUGGUCUGCAACUGACGCUGAGGCUCGAAAGCAUGGGUAGCGAACAGG
rnacentral:rRNA from 1 species